UGAAACACAGCCUGGAUGUGAGGACAUUCAGCGAGUGAAGACAGAGAUCCUGACGUCCGACCGGGAAAGAAAACAAAAAAUCCAAUUUGUUUUUUUACGUGACCCAUGAUUCUAAAAAGAUAUUAUGUAACAAAUGUCAAAAUACACAUAACUACAAAUUAAAAUAAAGAAAUUAAUGAGUUAAGUAAAAGUUCACAAUUUUUAUUUUUUAAAGUGUCAGAAAAUCAAUCAACCAUCAAAAGAGGUCAAGGUCAGUCUUUACUGCUUCCACUGUAGAUGGAGGACAAACAGCAGCAAAGUGAUGCAACUCAAAUGCACCUAAUUAUUUCUACAUAAAAACAAGAAACCUAAGUAUAAAAGUUUGCUGAUUUGGAGUUUUAACAUCCUUAAAUGUAUCAAAAUAUUAUAACAUUAUAGCCUGAAAAGGUCUUCAUUCUACAGUUAAAAAAGACCACUUAAUUGGAGAAAACAUUCAAAUCAACUUUUAGGAACCCACAGAUUACAUGUGCGUCUUAUUUUUUAUAUCAAGAUGCAAUAGACAACAAACUAUUUCCCUCUCGGGGAAUCGGUUUACUCUGAGGUAGAAGGAAGUGGUUUAAACUUGCCUGGCUCUGAGUAAAAAAGUAGCUGCCUCCUCACCUAAAUAACUGGUUGUGCAAAUCUGUAAUUUAGUGAGACACUUAUGACUCUUUCAUGUCGCCGUCCACUUCUGCCUUCUGUGCAGAACAGAUUUUUCAGCUACACUUUCACAGCAUAACUGCCUGUUUAUGGUCAUCACACAGGAAUAAAUCCCCAUCAGGUCCACACUUUGACUUGGAACAGUCCAAAAUCUAAAUCAGAGGAGGACCUGAUAUUUCUGGACGAUUGUCCCAAUGCAGGACCUACUGCAUGAAACCCGAAUGGAGUCAUGAUGUGUUGCUUCUUGAAAUCAUUUUGUCUAUAUAUUUAUAAUAAUGUUUUUCCCUUUUACAGACACCGUCUUGUUUCAUUGUUCGGAUUCAGCAGAAGUGGGUGUGACCAUACCAGGGACGGUUGCUGUGCCACCAAGCAGUAAAGCUGUGCUGCAAUCACAGAAGGCAGCGAGCAGGAGAACCGACCAAAGAAAAGAAACGGACCGCUUGUGAGCCAUAAAAGGCCCGUCUCAAAGGAAAAGGCCAAUUUGGGUGCGUUGGAAUUACUGUGACCCAAUUCAGCCUCCAAAUGGAUAGAAACUGGGGAAAUGGUUCUGCGUGUGCCACACUUUUCUGGGUGUAUUUUUCAUGUGUACGUUCUUCCGUGAUGUUACAUUACUUUCACUCUCUUGCAUAUAAUGUUAUUUUGUGUAUCUUGGAUUGUUUCAGAACACUAGCGAGAGCACACCGCUCCCAUUGCAGCUCAUGUGGAUUUAGCCGUGUUAUUGCCGUGUUGUUCAAUUAUGUCACUUCCUGCAUGCUUUGGACCCAAUGCACAAAUCCCUGCCACUGCACUAGUUAUGAUAACUGCCAUGAGGACAUUUUGACAGCAUGCUUUUCUGGAAAAUAAUUCUCGAGUAGAGUUUCUUCUCAGAUAUUUUCGAGAGAACUUAUUCAUUCAGAUAUUAUUUUUUUUUAACUUGUAGUUUAAGCAGACACUUAUGAAAGACUUCAUCCAAAAAAAAAAAA